AUCGAGAGUAGGUGAGGACGGCGGGUCAUUGCGAGAGAGGGUGGUGCGAGGUUGAACAACUUGCAAGUUUUGGGUGAUUUUACUUCGCAUUCCAUCGCUUGAGAGUAAGCUUAAACUUAGAUUAAGGUUGUGAGACCUACUUUUCUGUUCAUUUAUAUUUUUCCAGUCUUUGAUGGUAGCAGUUUCCCGAUCGAGCUUCGACUACUGGGUUAGAGGUUGUAUUUUCAUUUAUAUGCUUUCUAUGCCCAUUUUUUAGUUGAUUUCAUCGGUCUCUUGCUUAGGUCAGUUGAGUAGUCUAUACAUUAACCACGGAUUUCGAAUGAACUUGAUUGAUUUUCAUUUGUUUUCGAGUAAUCUUAACUUAGAUCAGGGGCUUGAAACCUUAUUUUCCGGCGCGAGGCACAUUCGUCUACUUCAUAUCUUUGACGGUAGCGGUUGUCUGGGCUUUCAUCCAUUUCUUGCUUAGAUCAGUUGAGUAGUCUAUACAUUAACCAUGGAUUUUGAAUGAAUUUAAUUGAUUUUCAAUUCUUUUGAGUAAGCAACAAACCUCAUUUUCUGGUGUGAGGCCCAUUUAUCUUCUUCAAAUCUUUGACGGUAGCAGUUUUCUGAGCUUCUGAUCACCCGUUAGAGGUUAUUAUGCCAUUUAUUUGCUUGUAUGUCCACUUUGCAAUAGCUUUCAUGGAUUUCUUGCUCAGAUCAGUUCAGUCUGUACAUGCUUGUGAUAUGUCUAUGUGGGGUUCGGUGCAUAUGCCUCCUGUUCAUGAGCCGUGAAAGAGAAUGCCAUCUACGGUGCACUGACUACAUUUAACUGUCCAUUCUAUGCAUGCUUGUGAUAUGUCUACGUGGGGUUCGAUUCAUGCCUAUCCUGUUUAUGAGCCAUGAAAGAGAAUGCCAUUUAUGGUGCACUGGCUACAUCAUUUUACUACCCAUUGGAACUUGCGGAUGUAUGAGCGCUAACUUUAUACACUGUUUCUAAGUGAGCAUCUCAUCGUAAUAUAUUUUUGUGCCUUGAGGAUUUACCAUUAUGUUCCAGAAACUUCUUGAUCUUGUUGAACUUUCGGAACUUGGCACUGUUGAAAAUGGUUCACUGGUUUGAGAUAUAUUAGUUGAUAGUAUACCAUCGCUUGUCUUCUCUUGCCAUUCAAAUUCUUGCUCAUCCUGUGAAACAUUUUCGCUUGGCAAACUAUUAGCUGAAGAGUGAGCAGGGGAGAAAGUCUCACUGACAUCAAUUGCCUCCCCAUCUAUCAUGCAUUUUAGGAUGUGUACCACCUUUCAUGAACCAAGAAGUAAAUUCAUUGUCAGUUUCAUGGAAAAUAGGUUCUUGGUAUAAUCAUUCAGUAGAAAUUUUCUCUAUACAGCAAUACAGCAUGAAAAUUUUAGUAAAAGAUUUUGAUUGUCGCAAUAGCUGAUAAAUUCCAAAGCUAUUGCAGAAUUUUGAGAGAUUUCUAGAGUACCUAACUUCAUUUACGUUGGAGCCGGUAAAAGUCUCGUUUCUUGUAUUAUGACCUAUUAAUUCCCUAUGAGGCUUUUAACUUAUAAAAUCUCUGUACUUUGUAAUGAUACCAUCAGAUGAAACAAACUGACUCGUAAAGCUGAUAAAUACAACUUUCCCAGGUGUAAUGAAGUGGAACAUUGAUCUCGGAGUCUUAUACCAAACCACAAAAAGUCUACUAAGCAGUCUAAACAGAUCAUGUUUUUCUGGUAAUUUGAUCAUUGAAAAUAUCGUUCAUAUCAGGUGCAGGUUUAUAAUAUACUAUAAUUCUUCAAACAUUAUUAAUCAUGUGGUAAUACUGUAAAAACAGAAUUAGAUGUUUUUUUGAAAGAUCUCUCUUCUUACCUUUUCCAUCGAUGGCCUUUUAUCAGGGUCCCUUAUAAGGCAUUGCUCAAUCACGGUUAUCAUCCAAAAUAGUUGGUACAAGUCAUGGCAAUCAAGAAUCCUUUCAUCAAUCAGUUCAGGGUAGUUCCUCUCAUGCAGAAGUGGUCUUGCCUGCAGAGAAGGAAACACAUAAUUGAGGAUAAUAUAUAGAUGCAAAGGUAAAACACUAUAACUUACCCAUCCAACAAGACCUUUGUUUUCUAAAUUGUUGUCCAUUGUUGUCCGACCUGUGAUUAACUCAAGCAAAACCACUCCAAAUGAAUAAACAUCAGAUUUAGUCGAUAGUCUGCCACGUUCUGUGUAUUCUGGUGCCAAGUAUCCAAUAGUACCUACUACCUUGUUUUCAGACACAAGAACAGACUCAUUUCGUUGCUUUCUUGAAAGCCCAAAAUCUCCCAACUGAUACAUUCAGCAACAGAAAGAGGAUGUUGUUGGGCCUCAUAUCUCUAUGGAUUAUAUUGUUCUGGUGCAGAUAGUUCAAACCUUUUGCAACUCCAAUAGCUAUCUUCAGCCUUUGUCCCCAAGUCAAAAGGGAUGAACUGUUUUCUGCAUGAAAUUGACCAAAAAAAGUGUCCUUAAACUUCGAAGAAGAAAGGCUCUAGGUUAAGCUUUCUUUCAGCAUAAAAUUCCAAUAAGGUUUUGUUCUUCUAGAGUACAUUUUUUUAUUAUAUUGGUAUGAAUGCUACAAUCUAGUUGAGCAGGUUUGGAUAAUCCGCUAGCAUUUCUUUGCUAUGAGAUAUACUCAUAGACAAGCAACCUGUGAUUUCUUUCUGAGCAUGAACGAAUAACAUGACGAAAAAAAAGUGUUCUUAAACUUUGAAGAAGAAAGGCUCUAGGCUUACUGACAGCUUCAAGGGCAGCUACUUUCGGUGAAGAUGCCGCAACAACACUUAUGUUGAAUGCAAUCUGGCAUUUCCAACAAUUAUCCAGUGUUACCUUCUUGGAUUCAAAUAGCUCACGGAUGGGCAAUAACUCUGCACUUCUCUGGUAUUCUUCCUCCUUCCUUGCAACUUCCUCGCUGAUGAUCCUAGUGUUUGUCGCCAACACGGAGUUGGAAUCUAUCUUGCUUCUGUAGCCCACUGAAACCAAUUGCUCUAAGAUGGAAAAAUAACGUACUAGGGGUGUUAACAUGGUGAAGAACUCCAAGGAGAGUGAGUUCAUCCCCGAGUUUAAGGGAAAGACCAUCAAUGGCCCAUUUGAUUGCGCUGGAACUUAAAUCUUUUGAUGCGUCCUGGAUCACCACCACCCUUUGAGGUGCAGUGGGCAUGCCGCCACCACCAGUUGCUGAAGAACUCGUCAUCAAAGAACAGCUUGACAACCGAUGAAGAGGAACAAAGUAGCAAAGCAAUCCUUAUUUCCUAACAAAGCCGGCAGCAUGCUGUACACACAAUUUCUAAGGAUUUUGAGGAUGUGUUUCCCAAGGAAGUGCCUCAAGGUUUGCCUCCAAUGAGGGGGAUUGAAUACCAAAUAGACCUUAUUCCUGGCGCUUCUUUGCCCAAUAGGCCAGCUUAUAGGAGCAACCCUCAAGAAACAAAGGAGAUACAAAAUCAAGUGGAGGAGUUAUUGCAAAAAG